rnacentral:rRNA from 1 species
UGGGGAAUUUUGGACAAUGGGGGAAACCCUGAUCCAGCCAUCCCGCGUGUGCGAUGAAGGCCUUCGGGUUGUAAAGCACUUUUGGCAGGAAAGAAACGUCAUGGGUUAAUACCCCGUGAAACUGACGGUACCUGCAGAAUAAGCACCGGCUAACUACGUGCCAGCAGCCGCGGUAAUACGUAGGGUGCAAGCGUUAAUCGGAAUUACUGGGCGUAAAGCGUUCGCAGGCGGUUCGGAAAGAAAGAUGUGAAAUCCCAGAGCUCAACUUUGGAACUGCAUUUUUAACUACCGGGCUAGAGUGUGUCAGAGGGAGGUGGAAUUCCGCGUGUAGCAGUGAAAUGCGUAGAUAUGCGGAGGAACACCGAUGGCGAAGGCAGCCUCCUGGGAUAACACUGACGCUCAUGCACGAAAGCGUGGGGAGCAAACAGG